rnacentral:rRNA from 1 species
GUCCGAUUAGGUAGUUGGUGAGGUAACGGCCCACCAAGCCAAUGAUCGGUAGCCGGCCUGAGAGGGUGAACGGCCACAUUGGAACUGAGAGACGGUCCAAACUCCUACGGGAGGCAGCAGUGGGGAAUAUUGGGCAAUGGGGGAAACCCUGACCCAGCAACGCCGCGUGAGGGAAGAAGGUUUUCGGAUUGUAAACCUCUGUUCUUGGUGAAGAGAAGAAGACGGUAGCCAAGGAGGAAGCCCCGGCUAACUACGUGCCAGCAGCCGCGGUAAUACGUAGGGGGCGAGCGUUGUCCGGAAUGAUUGGGCGUAAAGGGUGCGUAGGCGGCGAUACAAGUCAGAAGUGGAAGUCCUGUUUUCAAGGCAGGAAUUGCUUUUGAAACUGUAUGGCUUGAGUGCGGAGAGGUUAUCGGAAUUCCCGGUGUAGCGGUGAAAUGCGUAGAGAUCGGGAGGAACACCAGUGGCGAAGGCGGGUAACUGGACUGCAACUGACGCUGAGGCACGAAAGUGUGGGGAGCAAACAGGAUUAGAUACCCUGGUAGUCCACACCAUAAACGAUGAAUGCUAGGUGCAGGGGGUAUCGACCCCUUCUGUGCCUGAGUAAACACAAUAAGCAUUCCGCCUGGGGAGUACGGUCGCAAGAUUAAAACUCAAAGGAAUUGACGGGGGCCCGCACAAGCAGCGGAGCAUGUGGUUUAAUUCGAAGCAACGCGAAGAACCCUUACCAGGUCUUGACAUCCAGUAAAAGCAUAAGAGAUUAUGUGUGCCUUCGGGCAUACUGAGACAGGUGGUGCAUGGUUGUCGUCAGC